rnacentral:misc_RNA from 1 species
AGACUCAACCCAGUCGGGUUUCCGACUGGGUUGGACUUGGGUGUUGCCGCCUGUGGCUCACCUUAAAUGUGUUAGCGGUGCAAGCGACCGAACCCGGCGUGAUAAGUUUCGCCGGUACCAGGGAGCACGCCCGCUCAUAGCCGCCCUCGGGCACUUUUGACUCUGACCUCAAAUCAGGUAGGACUACCCGCUGAACUUAA